UGCCAGAGUGCUCCAGUGCCUAUGGGGU
rnacentral:piRNA from 1 species